CAAAGUUGGCCGAGUGGUUAAGGCGACAGACUCGAAUUGCCUGCUUCAAGGCCUUAUCGUUAUCUGUUGGAUUCGUCCGCACAGGUUCAAAUCCUGUAGCUGUCG
rnacentral:tRNA from 1 species